rnacentral:lncRNA from 1 species
UCUAGUACAUGUAGUGACCUGGGAGUCCGUAGGGACCGGGCACCGACAGAGGGAGUUCUGGGAUCAUGUCUAAUCCGAGAUGUGAGAUGUUUGUGUUGUGACACAUUCCAUGAAAGCAUAUAAUGAAUGAACUGUUUUAUGGUUUCUACUCACUGGGCUCUUGUAGCUCACCCCAUUCCCAUAACCCCAGUUUUGCAGGGCCAGAGUUCAGCAUAGUGAGCUAUGAGAAAAGCAGAGUCAGCAGAGUGAGCUAUGAGAAAAGCAGAGUGAGCAUGAGUUGCCGUGUUUGGCUGUACUAGCAUAGCUAGGUUUUGAUACAGUGGCUUGUAAAGAAGCUUGAUGUAUAGAUAUGAAAGAGGCUUGAUGUAUAUGUUUAUGAUGUAACGAUUAAGGAUG